CAUAGGUUAAUGAGGCGAACCGGGGGAACUGAAACAUCUAAGUACCCCGAGGAAAAGAAAUCAACCGAGAUUCCCCCAGUAGCGGCGAGCGAACGGGGAGCAGCCCAGAGCCUGAAUCAGUGUGUGUGUUAGUGGAAGCGUCUGGAAAGGCGCGCGAUACAGGGUGACAGCCCCGUACACAAAAAUGCACAUGCUGUGAGCUCGAUGAGUAGGGCGGGACACGUGGUAUCCUGUCUGAAUAUGGGGGGACCAUCCUCCAAGGCUAAAUACUCCUGACUGACCGAUAGUGAACCAGUACCGUGAGGGAAAGGCGAAAAGAACCCCGGCGAGGGGAGUGAAAAAGAACCUGAAACCGUGUACGUACAAGCAGUGGGAGCACGCUUAGGCGUGUGACUGCGUACCUUUUGUAUAAUGGGUCAGCGACUUAUAUUCUGUAGCAAGGUUAACCGAAUAGGGGAGCCGAAGGGAAACCGAGUCUUAACUGGGCGUUAAGUUGCAGGGUAUAGACCCGAAACCCGGUGAUCUAGCCAUGGGCAGGUUGAAGGUUGGGUAACACUAACUGGAGGACCGAACCGACUAAUGUUGAAAAAUUAGCGGAUGACUUGUGGCUGGGGGUGAAAGGCCAAUCAAACCGGGAGAUAGCUGGUUCUCCCCGAAAGCUAUUUAGGUAGCGCCUCGUGAAUUCAUCUCCGGGGGUAGAGCACUGUUUCGGCAAGGGGGUCAUCCCGACUUACCAACCCGAUGCAAACUGCGAAUACCGGAGAAUGUUAUCACGGGAGACACACGGCGGGUGCUAACGUCCGUCGUGAAGAGGGAAACAACCCAGACCGCCAGCUAAGGUCCCAAAGUCAUGGUUAAGUGGGAAACGAUGUGGGAAGGCCCAGACAGCCAGGAUGUUGGCUUAGAAGCAGCCAUCAUUUAAAGAAAGCGUAAUAGCUCACUGGUCGAGUCGGCCUGCGCGGAAGAUGUAACGGGGCUAAACCAUGCACCGAAGCUGCGGCAGCGACGCUUAUGCGUUGUUGGGUAGGGGAGCGUUCUGUAAGCCUGCGAAGGUGUGCUGUGAGGCAUGCUGGAGGUAUCAGAAGUGCGAAUGCUGACAUAAGUAACGAUAAAGCGGGUGAAAAGCCCGCUCGCCGGAAGACCAAGGGUUCCUGUCCAACGUUAAUCGGGGCAGGGUGAGUCGACCCCUAAGGCGAGGCCGAAAGGCGUAGUCGAUGGGAAACAGGUUAAUAUUCCUGUACUUGGUGUUACUGCGAAGGGGGGACGGAGAAGGCUAUGUUGGCCGGGCGACGGUUGUCCCGGUUUAAGCGUGUAGGCUGGUUUUCCAGGCAAAUCCGGAAAAUCAAGGCUGAGGCGUGAUGACGAGGCACUACGGUGCUGAAGCAACAAAUGCCCUGCUUCCAGGAAAAGCCUCUAAGCAUCAGGUAACAUCAAAUCGUACCCCAAACCGACACAGGUGGUCAGGUAGAGAAUACCAAGGCGCUUGAGAGAACUCGGGUGAAGGAACUAGGCAAAAUGGUGCCGUAACUUCGGGAGAAGGCACGCUGAUAUGUAGGUGAAGUCCCUCGCGGAUGGAGCUGAAAUCAGUCGAAGAUACCAGCUGGCUGCAACUGUUUAUUAAAAACACAGCACUGUGCAAACACGAAAGUGGACGUAUACGGUGUGACGCCUGCCCGGUGCCGGAAGGUUAAUUGAUGGGGUUAGCGCAAGCGAAGCUCUUGAUCGAAGCCCCGGUAAACGGCGGCCGUAACUAUAACGGUCCUAAGGUAGCGAAAUUCCUUGUCGGGUAAGUUCCGACCUGCACGAAUGGCGUAAUGAUGGCCAGGCUGUCUCCACCCGAGACUCAGUGAAAUUGAACUCGCUGUGAAGAUGCAGUGUACCCGCGGCAAGACGGAAAGACCCCGUGAACCUUUACUAUAGCUUGACACUGAACAUUGAGCCUUGAUGUGUAGGAUAGGUGGGAGGCUUUGAAGUGUGGACGCCAGUCUGCAUGGAGCCGACCUUGAAAUACCACCCUUUAAUGUUUGAUGUUCUAACGUGGACCCGUGAUCCGGGUUGCGGACAGUGUCUGGUGGGUAGUUUGACUGGGGCGGUCUCCUCCUAAAGAGUAACGGAGGAGCACGAAGGUUGGCUAAUCCUGGUCGGACAUCAGGAGGUUAGUGCAAUGGCAUAAGCCAGCUUGACUGCGAGCGUGACGGCGCGAGCAGGUGCGAAAGCAGGUCAUAGUGAUCCGGUGGUUCUGAAUGGAAGGGCCAUCGCUCAACGGAUAAAAGGUACUCCGGGGAUAACAGGCUGAUACCGCCCAAGAGUUCAUAUCGACGGCGGUGUU
rnacentral:rRNA from 1 species